rnacentral:rRNA from 1 species
GACGAACCGUGCGAACGUUAUUCGGAAUCACUGGGCUUAAAGCGCGUGUAGGCGGGCCAUCACGUCGGUCGCUGAAAGCCCCCGGCUCAACCGGGGAACCGGCGCCGAUACGAGUGGCCUGGAGGGGGGUAGGGGGACCUGGAACUUCCGGUGGAGCGGUGAAAUGCGUUGAGAUCGGAAGGAACGCCCGUGGCGAAAGCGAGGUCCUGGACGUCUACUGACGCUGAGACGCGAAAGCUAGGGGAGCGAACGGG